UACGUAGGGGGCAAGCGUUGUCCGGAAUCAUUGGGCGUAAAGAGCGUGUAGGCGGUCCGGUAAGUCCGCUGUGAAAGUCCAGGGCUCAACCCUGGGAUGCCGGUGGAUACUGUCGGGCUCGAGUCCGGAAGAGGCGAGUGGAAUUCCUGGUGUAGCGGUGAAAUGCGCAGAUAUCAGGAGGAACACCAAUGGCGAAGGCAGCUCGCUGGGACGUGACUGACGCUGAGACGCGAAAGCGUGGGGAGCAAACAGG
rnacentral:rRNA from 1 species